CUCCACCUUUCUGAAGAAUCGUGAUGUCCUACUUCUUAGGCGCAAUUCCAUUCUCAGUGCCCAGUCCCACAAAGUAUCACUUCAGUCAAGAUAAAAUGUAACUGGCCUGAGCACAAGGUCGUGUCAUCAUGCCACAUCUGUCAUUUGGAGUGUGAGAGGAAUGUACCAUAUUAUGGUAUGUGAAAUUUGCUUGUUCUGCUUGCUUUCUGCAAGUUGUACAUUGAAGAUGUUAAUAAGUGCUCCUUAAAAUUAAAAUGGGAUUAUAAUAAAGGUGGUAUUUGAAAUUCUGCUGAAAGCUGCUCAGGUUUGUGAUCUUUAGGUAAGUAGUUUUAAUACAAAA